GGUAGUCCACGCAGUAAACGAUGAUUACUAGCUGUUUGCGAUACACAGUAAGCGGCACAGCGAAAGCGUUAAGUAAUCCACCUGGGGAAUACGCCGGCAACGGUGAAACUCAAAGGAAUUGACGGGGGCCCGCACAAGCGGAGGAACAUGUGGUUUAAUUCGAUGAUACGCGAGGAACCUUACCCGGGUUUGAACGCAGAGAGACAGGAGUGGAAACAUUCUUUUCAGCAAUGACUGUCUGCGAGGUGCUGCAUGGUUGUCGUCAGCUCGUGCCGUGAGGUGUCGGCUUAAGUGCCAUAACGAGCGCAACCCUUAUCUUUAGUUACUAACAGGUCAAGCUGAGGACUCUAGAGAGACUGCCAGCGUAAGCUGUGAGGAAGGUGGGGAUGACGUCAAAUCAGCACGGCCCUUACAUCCGGGGCGACACACGUGUUACAAUGGUAAGGACAAAGGGCAGCUACCGGGCGACCGGAUGCGAAUCUCUAAACCUUAUCUCAGUUCGGAUCGGAGUCUGCAACUCGACUCCGUGAAGCUGGAUUCGCUAGUAAUCGCGCAUCAGCCAUGGCGCGGUGAAUACGUUCCCGGGCCUUGUACACACCGCCCGUCAAGCCAUGGGAGCCGGGGGUACCUGAAGUUCGUAACCGCAAGGAUCGACCUAGGGUAAAACUGGUGACUGGGGCUAAGUCGUAACAAGGUAACC
rnacentral:rRNA from 1 species